ensembl:lincRNA
CGCUCCCGUGGGCCGGGUAGUGACCGGUGACUCGCUCGCCUCCUCUCGCCGCCCCACCCUCUCACCCUCGCUCUCUGGACGAGCUUCUCCAGGGCCUACGUUCUGCUCAUUUUUUAAUCCUCCUUCUCUAGAGCCUGCCCCAGGGACAUUCUCGCGUGGUUCCAAGGGUGCCAAGGGGUGGACUUCCCUUUGUGCCCUUAAAAAAAGUGGCUUAAACCGAUUCUGCCUCUCCCUUCACUCAUUAUUCUUUUAUUUUCUUUUUUUCCAGCAUUUUAUUAUGAAGAGUUUCAAACAUACAGGAAGGUUGAAAGAAUUGCACGUGAGCACCCAUAUAUCUGCCCCCUAGGAGCCACGAUUUGCACAUGGCGACACUUGCUUUGUCACUCUCUCCCCACCCCUCUCCCCACCCACCCAUCUUCCUUCCUCCCUCCGGAGAUGGCUCCCACAUUUCUCUGUUGUCUGCUUGCUAUUUGCUCAUUGUAUCUGCUCAUUGUCUCUACUUGCCGUGUCUGCUCAAUGUCUCCACUCGUUGUAUCUGCUCAUCUCCGCUUCUAGUCUACUUGUUCUGUCCAUUCAUUGUCUGCUUGUCUUCUUCAGGAAGCACUGGAAACUGAACCUAGGACCUCCCGUGUGGGAGGCAGGUACCCAACUGCUUGAGCCACUGUUCCCCUCCAUCUCACCUUCUGAUGCGUUUCAAAGUCAGUUGUGGACCUCAUUCUGCUGCCUCCCACACCCACACCUGCAACUGGCUCGUCACUAACUGGACUUUCUUUCUUGGGAGGAAGAGACAAAAUUAAACACUCUGAGAAAGGCCGUGGUCGCUGGUGAACGUGGAGGUGACACACACCUGGGCCCCCACCCCCCAUCUCAUGAGAGAAUGGCCCCCGCCCAGGGCGUCCCGCCAAGCCCCUUCCUGGGCCAUCCCCGUGCCCACGCUUGCUCCGUUCUUCCCCAUUAGAUUAGCUUAGCCUGAAACUUCACACACACGGAAUCCUGCAGGACGUGUUUGGAGCAGGCUCCCAAAUCCCGCGGGUCACAGCUGGCUCGUAUGUAGUGCCGCUGCCUGAACGUCCUGCUGAGGCGCGUGGAGCUCCUGCAGGUGGGGUCCACUGGGAACACCCGCUCUCCACGUGCUCUCACGGGGCUCACUCGCUCUCCUGCAGGCUCCUCAGAGGGCGUCGUGAGGGGCCACGUGGACGACCCCGGUUCCGGCUCCGCACCGAGGCCGGGGCAGGAGGAAGUCUGCCUCGCCCGCCGCCCGCGCAGGAAGCCCUUCAGAGGCGGCUGUGCAGCCCGAGCCGGACCACCGUGAUCCAGGGGCUGCGGCAGGCCAGGGGGCCACGCCAGGACGCCCUGAUGCGGGAAGCGGGCCCAGGAGGGGGGCCGCCUGGAGCUGGAUGCGGGCCCCCCCGGGCGGCUGCUCAAGGCGGCCCCGGGCACUGCACCCCUUCAGUUCUGCCCCCGUGCCCUCGCCAGGGCCCCUCGCCCACUCCGUCUUCACAGCCCCCCGCUCCCCGCCGUGGCGCCCUUGCAGCCUCGUCCCGGGCCCAGGAGCUACAGUGGGUGAAGAGUAAAUUCACCCGGGAGAGGAAAGGAGGACUGAGCGGCGGGACGGGGCAGGAUCCUGUUUCUUCACCAACCUGGACACAGAACAAGUACAAAUCGGGGACAUGGAGUGACGGCACAUUGUUUACAAUUCUAAAUAUUCCAUCACCCUGACUCCUAAAAAUAGCCCAGCGCGGGCGGAUGGCGCUCGGCUCGGGGAAAAGUCCCUGUUUCCCUGGAGGAGGAGGGCGCACAGCCAGGCCGCGGGGGUCCCCGCCCGCUGGAGGACACUGCGUCCAGGGGCGCCCCUCUGGCUGACCCUCCGUGCCUGUGGAGGUGACGACAACUGCCAGGACGCCUCCAUCUGCACCGCCCCGCGCAGGCGCCCCUGCGGCCACAGGGUCCUUCCCCUCCCCUGCGCUAACUUGGCUCCAGGGCAGCCCCCCGUGACCUCUCCAGUCACCUUCAGGUCUGACCCCCACCUUAACCCUUUCAGGGUCUCUGCGCAGCAAGGUCCUGGCCCCCCCCCCACGUGGGCUCUGAGUUGAAGCCCCCCCUGCUCCGGCCGGGCCCCGCUUUCAGGAAGCCCCGCUUGGCUCUCCUUCCUCUGCCACCCGCCCCACUCCAUCCUCACCUGCAGCCCCCCCCCAGGGCCCCCAGAGGAGGCAGCGGCGCGGGGCUCAGCGACCGAGGGGGGCCGUGCUCACUGCACCCCGCUGCUCCUGCGGGCUCUUGGCGAGCCCCCGCCGGCCUGGCCCUGUGUCCCCACUGCCCGCUCGGACAGAUGCCUCCAGCCUCCUGCUCGCCCGCCUUCCAGCAGACCCCCGGCCCGUCUCCAUCACCAGGGUCCCAGGAAACGGGGCCUCGGGCGUGCUGGCGCCCGCACGGCAGGCGGCGCUCCCCUCUAGGCUCUGGCAGGGCCAGGACACCAGGAGGCUGGCGAAAGGCCCUGGCGCCCCAGGCACGUCGGGCCCUCUCCAGGCGGGUGGCCCCGCGCUCAGAACGAGAGCCAGCGUCCCUGCUCGGGUGCCGCCACGGUGAAAGGCGGGGGCACAACCCGGCACGCCGGCCUGGCCGCGCCUCCGUGGCCCGCUCGCGACACGCCAGCCAAGUCCGUGCCCUGAGGUUUCUGGUGCGUA